rnacentral:lncRNA from 1 species
AAAAACCGACAGAGAAGCAGAAAGGCCGAGAAAGAGAAAGGAGAAAAGGAAAAGAAGAAAGAAAAGAAGAAGAAGAAGGGGGAAGUAAGUAUUUAUCUUCAUGUUUGGGUUCAUUUACUUCAUUUCUUCAUGAAAUUAAGAAGUAAAUGUUCUAUGGUUUUAUGAUGUUAAAUUUCUAAGGUUUAAUUAGUUGGUUAAAUUUGUGGGUUUUACUUGUAGGUUUAGUGAAAGGAGUAUGAAUCCUUGUUUAAAUUACUUGAUGGAUUAAUUUUUAGUUCAAUGAAGGUAAGCAAUAUAAUUUUUGGCAAACCCCAUAUUUCUAUUUGGGAUUUUUGAUUAAUUAUUGUUAAUAGGAAUGGUUAUAUUGAUGGAAUACCCACAUGAAAGCAUGAAUUUGAAAAACAAGAUGAAAGUUUAAAUGGGUGGAAUUAUGGUUCCUAGUUUUCAUUAGAUUGGAAAGUAUAAUUUUUUAUGAGUGGAUGAAGGUAAAUUUGGAUGUAGUAUACAUUUGUGAAGGUAUUAGAAAGUAGAAUUAGCUCCAAUUGAUCAAAGGAAAAUUCGAAAAAUUUAUUCAAGCAUCGAGAAAUUUAAUUUAAGUACUAUCAUUAAAGAUAAACAGUUUCUUGUUUUGGCAGUGUUUAAAUUAGUUAUUUUAUAAUGUAUUUCAGGUGGUUACGAAGAGAUUGGAAACAUUUAUUAGGCAGUCUAGCUUUUAGCUCACACUUCGUGAGCGGAUAAAAAAUAUUAUUUUCAGCAAUAAGUAUUUAUUCAAUUUAUAUUAAAUCAGAAAAUGUAUUAUUUCAUAUAGUUGAUUUGACAGCGUGAUUUUCAGAAUAAAGUUGAUUUGUAAAUAAUUGUUUUUAAAAUUUGAUCUAGUUCAGUUAAAUCAUUUCAAUAGCAUGUUCCAUUCGUAUUGCAUGUUUUAGUAUAGCUAAAGUUAUUUCUAAAAACCACAUAAAAGUACCAAGUGAUUUUACUCUAGUCUGCACUGGUGUGAAUGUGUUCCACAGUGUAAGGCUAAUUAAGGUCAUUUUACCCGCUCUGCACUACUAUGAAUGUGUUUCCAUAGUGUAUGACCAGAUUAUCAGAUGUCUUUAGGACCCACUCUCAUAGACACAUAGGCUUUGGACCGUGUAUUAGGGUGAUUAGACUUUGAGACAACUCUACGUACGUAUGACCAGAUUAUCAGAUGUGAAUGGCUUUGCCUUGUACAUCGAGAUUACUUUGUACAUGAGUAAGGCUAUUCAUUGGGUACCUUUGUGGUGUGACUUUCAAUAUAUAUAGCUUAUCAGAUUUCAAACUACAAAAUUUAGUUUCUUCAAUUUUUAAAGUAAUGAUUUCAAUUUAUAGUAUUGUGACAGGAUAUUUUCACUUAUAUUUACUGCUAUCAGAUUAUUUAUAUUUAUUAUAGCUUACAGUUGCCUAUCUUGAAAGAAGAACAAAGAAUUUUAUGAUGCAUUCAUGUUUGAUUUUAAAAGUAUUACCAGAUUUUCGAAUUUCUAGAAGUUUUAGUAGUGCAAAAAUUUUUAGAAAAUAUGCAUAAACGGGAAACGUAUACUUAUUUAUAAACUAUUCAUUCACUGAGUUACAAGCUCAUAUAUAUUGUUAUGUUUUUCCUAUCAGGAGACCGGUGAUUUUGAGAUAUCUAGGAAAGCCUGCUGAAGCCAAGAGCCUGGUUACCCAUCAUUUAGCGCAUGAUCUUAACCGUAUCAUAGUAUGUAAUGUAUAGUUGGGGACUCAUGUUUAUUGAACACUUUGUCUAAUAUUUUGUUUGAUUUUCACUUCAUAGAAGGGUUUAUAAUUAAUGUAAUGAUUGUAUGUAGACAUGAUGUUUUACAGUAGAAGUACCCAGUCGAGUUUAGUUGUAUUUUGUUUUAGUUGUGGUGGUAUUGGCAGAAUUGGUGGAUCCCAAAAUUUUUGUUUUAAAUGUCUAUAUGAG